GGGAACGCCGGCGCCAGGCAGAGGGGGCAUCAUGGCCGUGGGGCUCCUCCUUCGCCCGGGCCGGGGGGCACAGGGUCCCGGCAAGGAGCAGUUGUCACACCGGGGCUUUUGUUGUGGGGAGCCGGCUGGGCCUAGCAGAGGAGAGCUGGGAACCGGAGCUGGGGGGGUGUAAACAAAGGAGAGGGUCAGCAGUGGGGUGAAAACAGUGCAGGGCAAAGGCAGCAUGAGGUGAAGGCAGUGCAUGGGCAAAGGCAGUGUGAAGUGAAGGCAGUGCGGGGCAAAGGCAGUGCGGGGCAAAGGCAGUGCGAGGUGAAGGCAGUGCGAGGUGAAGGCAGUGCGAGGUGAAGGCAGUGCGGGGCAAAGGCAGCGUGAGGUGAAGGCAGUGCGGGGCAAAGGCAGCGUGAGGUGAAGGCAGUGCGGGGCAAAAGCAGCGUGAGGUGAAGGCAGUGCGGGGCAAAGGCAGCGUGAGGUGAAGGCAGUGCGGGGCAAAGGCAGCGUGAGGUGAAGGCAGUGUGGGGCAAAGGCAGCGUGAGGUGAAGGCAGUGCGGGGCAAAGGCAGCGUGAGGUGAAGGCAGUGCGGGGCAAAGGCAGCAUGAGGUGAUGGCACUGCGGGGCAAAGGCAGAGUGAGGUGAUGGCACUGCGGGGCAAAGGCAGCGUGAGGUGAUGGCACUGCGGGGCAAAGGCAGCGUGAGGUGAAGGCAGUGCGGGGCAAAGGCAGCGUGAGGUGAAGGCAGUGCGGGGCAAAGGCAGCGUGAGGUGAUGGCAGUGCGGGGCGAAGGCAGCGUGAGGCGAAGGCAGUGCGGGGCGAAGGCAGCGUGAGGCGAAGGCGGUCAGGGUGAAGGCAGAGUGGGGUGAAGGCAGUUCCUCUCCACUCUCGUUUGGCUUUUUUUUUUGUCUCCCUGUGACCUCGUCUUGAGGUUUCACAGAGCUCUGUGUCUCUGUAGGUGUAAACCUACCUGGCUGCUAGACCCGCCCCCUUGCUCUGUGAGUCUCACCCCACCUGGGAAUAUCCCGCACACCCCAUCUUCACAUUUCCUAUUUCAUUUGCACCGGAAGUACAGCCUUUUUUAAAUUCACUCUCAUGUUCUCUUGUGGUGGGAGGGGAGGACUGAGGCGGGGGAAUGGACCCGCACACCGGUGCUAUCCCCCCCCCCGCCUGGCUCUACUGCUGUGCUGGGUUUCUUGGGGACACACUCUUCCUUCCCAUAAUGCCCUGCUCCUGGACUCCCUGUUUAUCUGCAGACGCGUGCACACACACACACACACACACACCCCCACUGAAGGAGUGAUUGUGCAUUCAUUGGAAUGAUGGCAGUGGGGGGGGGUGGCUGAUGGAGAGCAGGGCCAGGAGGAGAGUAGGAGGUGGGGGAGGGGAGUCGGUGAGCCCAACAGAGCCUGUUUGUGGGCUGAAUGACUCUGACUCUGCUCUGGAGUGCAAGCGUGGCCCCUGGGAGUCUUUAAGGUUGUCUGGGGGGGCCGGGAGGGGUAGUGUGUUCCACUCGCCUCCUCUCGCCACGCCUGGGAGGGAGCCUGUCCUGCUGCACUGUGGAUGGAUGCGCGGGGGUUGCUGGGGGGGCGUCCAGCUCAGUGACCACAUGGGAGUUCGCCCCUCUUGCAGGAAGUCAGGAGCAGAGCCACCCACUAGCAGCACAGAGCAGUGCCGGCAGUAGCAGGCUGCCCAUAUAUAUAUAUAUAUAUAUGUGUGUGUGUGUGUGUGUGUGUGUGUGUGUGUGUGUGUGUGUGUGCGUGUCCGUAUAUGAGUGUGCCCGUGUGUGUCUGUAUAUGACUGUGUCCAUGUGUG